UACAGGGGGUGCAAACGUUGCUCGGAAUCAUUGGGCGUAAAGCGCACGUAGGCGGUUCGUUAUGUCGGAUGUGAAAGCCCUUGGCUUAACCGAGGAAGUGCAUCCGAAACUGGCGAGCUAGAGUACGAAAGAGGAUCGCGGAAUUCCCGGUGUAGAGGUGAAAUUCGUAGAUAUCGGGAGGAACACCUGUGGCGAAAGCGGCUCACUGGACCAUAACUGACGCUGAGGCACGAAAGCUAGGGGAGCAAACAGG
rnacentral:rRNA from 1 species